ACGGAAGGCAGCAGUGGGGAAUAUUGUACAAUGGGCGCAAGCCUGAUCCAGCGAUGCCGCGUGAGGGAAGAAGGUUUUCGGAUUGUAAACCUCUGUCAUCGGGGACGAUAAUGACUGUACCCGAGAAGGAAGCUCCGGCUAACUACGUGCCAGCAGCCGCGGUAAUACGUAGGGAGCGAGCGUUAUCCGGAAUUACUGGGUGUAAAGGGAGUGUAGGCGGGACUGUAAGUCAGAUGUGAAAUAUGCCGGCUCAACUGGCAGACUGCAUUUGAAACUGCGGUUCUUGAGUGAAGUAGAGGUAAGCGGAAUUCCUAGUGUAGCGGUGAAAUGCGUAGAUAUUAGGAGGAACAUCAGUGGCGAAGGCGGCUUACUGGGCUUUAACUGACGCUGAGGCUCGAAAGCGUGGGGAGCAAACAGGAUUAGAUACCCUGGUA
rnacentral:rRNA from 1 species